rnacentral:tRNA from 6 species
GGGGGUAUAGCUCAACUGGCAGAGCAAUCGCCUCUUAAGCGAUCGGUUCAGGGUUCGAGUCCCUGUGCCCCCACCC